rnacentral:tRNA from 1 species
UAGGAAAUGGUGUAGUGGAAGCACUAAGAGUUUUGAUCUCUUUGGUUUGGGUUCGAGUCCCUUUUUUCUAA